CGAUGCGAUCAUACCAGCACUAAAGCACCGGAUCCAUCAGAACUCCGCAGUUAAGCGUGCUUGGCGAGAGUAGUACUAGGAUGGGUGACCCCCUGGGAAGUCCUCGUGUUGCAUCCC
rnacentral:rRNA from 1 species